GAUGAACGCUAGCUACAGGCUUAACACAUGCAAGUCGAGGGGCAGCGGGAUUGAAGCUUGCUUCAAUUGCCGGCGACCGGCGCACGGGUGAGUAACGCGUAUCCAACCUUCCGCUUACUCGGGGAUAGCCUUUCGAAAGAAAGAUUAAUACCCGAUGGUAUCUUAAGCACGCAUGAGAUUAAGAUUAAAGAUUUAUCGGUAAGCGAUGGGGAUGCGUUCCAUUAGGCAGUUGGCGGGGUAACGGCCCACCAAGGCGACGAUCAGUAGCCGGCCUGAGAGGGUGACCGGCCACAUUGGGACUGAGACACGGCCCAA
rnacentral:rRNA from 1 species